CAUGUACAUAGCAACAGAAGACAGGUGUAGCGCAUGGUACAUGAGCUGGUGACUCCAGUUCUAGUACUAACUGGUUCCUAUAGCACACCAAUCACAUUCAAAAUAAAUAAUUAUAUAUUUGAAGUAGAAACGGUUACCCUCCCCUGGCCGUGUCAAUGACUAACUGACUUGUACAUUAGGUACAUUAGGUACAUUAGGUACAUUAGGUACUUUGAAAUAUAUCUGUAUAUUCACCACCUGUACGACUGCAGUGUGAUGGCUGACGCCGGUGUGUUUUGCAUAUUUCCUG